UCCCGAGGGACAUAAACACCCAAAACAGGAGUAAAGUCCAUUACACUGAAGUAUUAGGGUUUCAAUACAUAGUCGUUAGUCAUCUUUCUCUAAAUUCACUCCCCUCUCUCUCUCAUCACUCAAUCUGCUCACUCUGAAUCUACUAAGAAAUUCAAGCUAUUUUCUUCAUUUUCCUUAUUUUUUCGUUGAUGUAUGAUCUCUUCUUUAAUCAUCUAUUUGGUUUUCAAUUUUUUUUAGCUUACAUUUGGGAUUUUGUGAAUUUAUUUUAAUGAAUUUUGUUGGAUCUUGAAGAUUUGAUACAUUUGGAAGACUGAAUUAGUGUUGAUUGAGAUAAAAAAAAAAACGGUUAAAAUAACGAUUGGAGUUCGAUAGUUUCUAAGGCAAACUGGAGAGCGCGAGAUUCAUUUCUUCUUCGCUCUCUUACCCUCAAUUUUGAGAUCCGAUUGGACCUUCAUCGCCACCUCCUCUGCCGCCGGAGUCCAAUGGCACUUGCUUCUCUCUCCUCUUCUUCCUCGUUCAACCGCUGCUUCCAUCUUCUGGGAAAAUGGACAAAGUAUACCUGGAUAAUGUGGAGGCAAGUGUUGCUGUUCUGAAAAAGGUUUCUGAGGAAAGAAGGGAACAACAUCUGAACCAGCCAUCUCUUGAAAUUGUAUAGCAGACUCUGAAGAGUUUCCAGCAGAAGGGUCUAGGGAUGGCCUCAUAAGAAGCCGGAUUAAAAUGGGAUUACCUCUCGUGCUCAUCUUGGAGAAGCAAGGAGUAUACAGGAAGAUGCAUUGAUGGAAACAGAAUUGUCUAAUGGGGAUGAAAAUGGUGUAGCUGAAAGCCAAUGUGUCGAUGAAGCUUGAACAAAUAUGGAGGAAGAUAGACAAUGAAAGAAGUACUUCAACUUUUAUAAUGUAUGCUGCCGCUCUUAGUUGCUGCAGCCAGCUUUUGGUUGCUGCUGUUUUGCUACUAAUAAUGCUGCUCUUUGUUGCUACUGAUACUGCUGCAUUUAGAUGCUGCUAUGAUUCGUUAUUUACUAAAAUUUAAUUAACAUUUUUAGCAUUACAAUAUUGUUGGUUUAUAAGGAGCUUCUUGAUGUAAAUUGAAUUUGGUGUAUAUGCUAUGAUUGAAAAUAUGUUUGUGGCAUGAAAACCAGCAUUUGGUAUAUAUUAAUUAUAGUUGAUCG